UGGUAAAUAUAUCCCUUGAGUUUGUGGAUGAUGUGAUUAUGACAAUAUAUCUCAUGAUUUACAAUAUAAGCCUAUAUUUUCCUCAUAAAAUGAGCUUAUGGUCCAAUUUGCUUAUAAUUGAUUGUUCCUCAAUACAAGCCUUUGAUUACAGGAUGCUCUUGGUGGAAAUUCAAAAACAACAUUUAUUGCAAAUGCCAGCCCAUCUAUUUGCACAAACCAGUCCAUUCAUCCAGUCUGGUCCAGGUUUUACAUCCAGUCAGCUUUUAAGGUUCUUUGGGUUAUGCCUUGUUCUUUGCGUUAGUUUUUCAUAAUGUGGCAUGGUGGUUUCCCACUUUCCCUCUUCUUCCAAGAAAUGGAAAUGGUGUAUUUUAGUUUUGUUGUUCAUUUGUUCUGUUUUGUUGUCUUAUGUGUAAUAUGUUUUUCAUGAUGUA